rnacentral:rRNA from 1 species
UCGGGAAUAUUGCGCAAUGGAGGAAACUCUGACGCAGUGACGCCGCGUGCAGGAAGAAGGUUUUCGGAUUGUAAACUGCUUUAGACAGGGAAGAAGAAGGACAGUACCUGUAGAAUAAGCUCCGGCUAACUACGUGCCAGCAGCCGCGGUAAUACGUAGGGAGCGAGCGUUAUCCGGAAUUAUUGGGUGUAAAGGGUGCGUAGACGGGAAGACAAGUUGGUUGUGAAAUCCCUCGGCCUAACUGAGGAACUGCAACCAAAACUAUCAUUCUUGAGUACUGGAGAGGAAAGUGGAAUUCCUAGUGUAGCGGUGAAAUGCGUAGAUAUUAGGAGGAACACCAGUGGCGAAGGCGACUUUCUGGACAGAAACUGACGUUGAGGCACGAAAGUGUGGGGAGCAAACAGG